ACGGUUCCAAAGCCCAACCGGCUAUAUCACCCAAUCCGCUAUAUCUUCAUUAUUUUUUUUUAUGAAUGCUUAUAUCAAGAAGUACCUAUAUAUAGAGGACAAUCACAUAAUUACAAGAGAUAAAUAUAGUAUGAUUCUUGGAUAUAGAGAUAAAUAGUAGGAUGCCUUAUCAUCGAACUAACUUGAUGUAACUUGGUCUCUUCUUAUCUUCUAGAUACCUAAUCUUAUCAAGAGAUAUAUACCCACUUUAACUUGAUGUAACUUGGUCUCUUCUUAUCUUCAGUACUGCUCUCAUUGGAGUCUGCUUGAAUAGUCUCCAAGAUGCAUGCAUGCUUGAAUAGUCUGUAAGAGCGAAGAGAUGUAAUCCGGGACACGUGAUCACCAAACCUGCUCUAUAGACCACUAAAAGUGCUACAAAGGCACAACACUUUGUACAACAAAGAUGGCUCCGAUAAAUAAAGUGGCAACGAACAUUGAAGAUUUGUGAAAACUUCUCUUUGAAAAAUCUGCAAAUCUGUGUGCUCCCCCUGACGAUGUCCUGACGAUGUCAAAACAACAAUGGCGUGACGAAAUCUUAUGCUACAUGGCAAGACGCUAGGAGAAAAUAUGGUGUGACGAAGUCCUAUGCUACAUGGCGAGAUGACGAGGCGCUGGGAGCAAAUAUGGUGUGACGAAGUCCUAUGCUACAUGGCGAGAUGGUGAGGCGCUAGGAGCAAAUAACGCCCACAUGAAUAAUAUCAAAACUGAUGUUCUUGUCUACAUAACGGAUAUAUUAGAGAUAUUGACUUCAUCUCAUC
rnacentral:lncRNA from 1 species